AUGCCGUUUCUGAUUGUCUCAUUCAGUGAAGCCAUAUUGGCCACAAGGUAUAGGGGCGGCGCGGUAAAUAUAAACUACACAGGCGUUCAUUGUGAGGAUCCGAGCUCCCACCCUGAGCAGGUGGUGUCUCGGGAAGGGGAACGGGUGGAACUGGACUGUCGGCUCUCUGUUGAUACUGGUUAUUCCGUAGCCUGGUACAAACAAACACUAACAGGGGCUCCGACAUUUAUCGCCUCCAUAUACCAGGGGAAUAUGACCCAAGGACGCUACACACUGUCCUUUGACCAAACAAAGAAGUCCAAUACCCUCUCUAUAGACAAUAUAGCCGUCCAGGACGCCGGAAUGUAUCACUGUGCGACGCAGACACGGUGA